rnacentral:rRNA from 1 species
GAUGAACGCUGGCGGCGUGCCUAAUACAUGCAAGUCGAACGAACGGACGAGAAGCUUGCGUCGCUGAUGUUAGCGGCGGACGGGUGAGUAACACGUGGAUAACCUACCUAUAAGACUGGUAUAACUUCGGGAAACCGGAUCUAAUACCGGAUGAUAUUUUGAACCGCAUGGGUCAAAAGUGAAAUACGGUCUUGCUGUCACUUAUAGAUGGAUCCGCGCUGCAUGAGCUAGUUGGUGAAGUAACGGCUUACCAAGGCUACGACGGGUAGCCGGCCUGAGAGGGUGACCGGCCACAUGGGAACUGAGAUACGGCCCAGACUCCUACGGGAGGCAGCAGUGGGGAAUAUUGCACAAUGGGCGGAAGCCUAAUGCAUCAACGCCGCGUGCGGGAUAACGGCCUUCGGGUUGUAAACCGCUUUCGCCUGUGACGAAGCGUGAGUGACGGUAAUGGGUAAAGAAGCACCGGCUAACUACGUG